AACGAACGCUGGCGGCAGGCCUAACACAUGCAAGUCGAACGAUGUAGCAAUACAUAGUGGCGCACGGGUGAGUAACGCGUGGGAAUGUACUGUUUAGUGGGGGAUAACUUCGGGAAACUGAAGCUAAUACCGCAUACGCCCGAGAGGGGAAAGAUUUAUCGCUAAACAAUCAGCCCGCGUGAGAUUAGGUAGUUGGUGGGGUAAUGGCCUACCAAGCCUACGAUCUCUAGCUGGUCUGAGAGGAUGAUCAGCCACACUGGAACUGAGACACGGUCCAGACUCCUACGGGAGGCAGCAGUGGGGAAUAUUGGGCAAUGGACGAAAGUCUGACCCAGCCAUGCCGCGUGAGUGAUGAAGGCUUUAGGGUUGUAAAGCUCUUUCGCCGAUGAAGAUAAUGACGGUAGUCGGAGAAGAAGCCCCGGCUAACUUCGUGCCAGCAGCCGCG
rnacentral:rRNA from 1 species